rnacentral:lncRNA from 1 species
GAAAGUGGCCAAAGCCUGUCAUGAGUAGACAGUAUCUGAUGAGGGGAAGCACUUAGUUAUUCUUUUCUGAAGUCCUAAAGGACCACAGAUAGAGUGGAUUUCAGGACUUAUUUAAAUGAUAGGAGACACAUGGUUUGGCGCAGUGAGAGGACGGGUUUUCCAGGCAUGCUGUGCUGUUUUGGAGCUGGCUCAGGGGCUGGUCGAAGCCAGGCUCAGAAGGGCCUGAGAAACUUUUGAGGCUAAAGAAAACGAAUUCUAAACCUC